rnacentral:rRNA from 1 species
AUUGAACGCUGGCGGAAUGCUUUACACAUGCAAGUCGAACGGCAGCACGGGGCAACCUGGUGGCGAGUGGCGAACGGGUGAGUAAUACAUCGGAACGUGCCCAAUCGUGGGGGAUAACGUAGCGAAAGUUACGCUAAUACCGCAUACGAUCUACGGAUGAAAGCGGGGGAUCGCAAGACCUCGCGCGAGUGGAGCGGCCGAUGUCAGAUUAGGUAGUUGGUGGGGUAAAGGCUCACCAAGCCAACGAUCUGUAGCUGGUCUGAGAGGACGACCAGCCACACUGGAACUGAGACACGGUCCAGACUCCUACGGGAGGCAGCAGUGGGAAUUUUGGACAAUGGGCGCAAGCCUGAUCCAGCCAUUCCGCGUGCAGGAUGAAGGCCUUCGGGUUGUAAACUGCUUUUGUACGGUAACGAAACGGACGAGGACUCUAAUACAUUUGCUAAUGACGGUACCGUAAGAAUAAGCACCGCUAACUACGUGCCAGCAGCCGCGGUAA